GGGGCAUUGGGGAGACAGAGGCAAGAACAAUUACUGUAUCUUGGCGUUUUUUUACAGACCUCGGCACUUCAAAUGCUUCUUCUUCCAAGGAGGUGCUAUCAAAAUCACUGUCAUCAAGGUCACCAGCCUUAGGAACAUAAUUGAAAUGGACAUUAAUGUCUACUGGAUUUCAUCCUGUCCACUGACACUCUCAAUCACUAAAUAAUCAAAAAGGUUUCACAAAACGGGCAUAGGAACAGAGCAAUGAAAACUUUAGGCACAUGUGAUAACCAAAAGCAGCAUGGGUGCCCGGGGAACAAACAAGUGCCAAACUGUUCAAAAUGAUUUGACUCCUUAUAAUGGGAAGGCCAGGAAACUCCUGCCACCAGCUAAGCACAAAUACAUUUUUGGCAGAGGGAAUUCCUGGCACACGUUAAGCACAAAUAAAAAGACAUGUUAUAUAUGUCAGAUAUAGAUAGUAUUAAAUAUUACCCAAUGCUUGACUGCUUUGGAACAUGGGAGUCUUUUGCAGAA